GAAACUUCUUGAAGAGAAUUUAACCUGCUUGAUUUGGAAAUAUGCCAACAGAGGUCAAGCCGGUGCUGAGGGAAGUUCUUCCCAAACAAGCUCUCUAUGGAGGAUGUGCCCACUAUGGUGCUUUGUAAACCCAAGCUGCUCCCUCUUAAAUCAGUGACCCUGGAAAAGCUGGAGAA